GAUGAACGCUGGCGGCGUGCCUAAUACAUGCAAGUCGAGCGAACAGACGAGGAGCUUGCUCCUCUGACGUUAGCGGCGGACGGGUGAGUAACACGUGGAUAACCUACCUAUAAGACUGGGAUAACUUCGGGAAACCGGAGCUAAUACCGGAUAAUAUAUUCAACCGCAUGGUUCAAUAGUGAAAGACGGUUUUGCUGUCACUUAUAGAUGGAUCCGCGCCGCAUUAGCUAGUUGGUAAGGUAACGGCUUACCAAGGCAACGAUGCGUAGCCGACCUGAGAGGGUGAUCGGCCACACUGGAACUGAGACACGGUCCAGACUCCUACGGGAGGCAGCAGUAGGGAAUCUGCCGCAAUGGGCGAAAGCCUGACGGAGCAACGGCGCGUGAGUGAUGAAGGUCUUCGGAUCGUAAAACUCUGUUAUUAGGGAAGAACAAAUGUGUAAGUAACUAUGCACGUCUUGACGGUACCUAAUCAGAAAGCCACGGCUAACUACGUG
rnacentral:rRNA from 1 species